AGCUUUGCACAGUGGCAGUAUCGUAGCCAAUGAGGUUUAUCCGAGGCGCGAUUAUUGCUAAUUAAAGUACAGAUAUUAAUGCU
rnacentral:snRNA from 1 species